CUGGAAGCGUCUCACGGCGCACCCAGAAACCCUAUGUGAACCUAUACCUCUCUGUUGCCUCGGCGCCGGCUGGGAGCUUCUGUAAACUCCCCCUCUUAGCGAGGAGCAGGCCCGCCGACGGCCUUAUAAACUCUUAUUUUUAGAACCUGUCUCUUCUGAGUUAUCAUGAUAAAUGAAUCA
rnacentral:misc_RNA from 1 species